CAAACAAAUUUGAAACGGCCUUUCACAUAGCUCAAUUAUAUUAGGCUUAGGUUCAUAAUCACCCUUUCUUUAAUUAAUUAACGCUUUAACCAAUUAAACUUGAAUGCAACAUUUUCAUUUGGUUUUUGUAUCCAUAAAAUUGAUUUAAAUGGAGCUAAAUGAAAUGAAAAUCCAAUUCUCAUUUAAAGAGACAAAACAAUUUUGUUCUCAACCUAAUUUGGGCCAAAAUGCAAUUACCACAACCUUUUGGGCUAUAUUGCAAAACACAAACUUUUGGGGUCACUUUGUAAAAACACAAAAGUCCACAACUUCAUGUAAUUACAACUAGAACCCAAAAAUUUCAAUAAAUAUAAAAACUUCAUUAAAGGAGCAAAACAAUUUGUCCUUUAGCGUUUUUAGGCCUUAACGUCAAAACGUAAACUUUCGGGUCAAAAUACAAAUACACAAAAGUAUCAAAACUUUAUGUAAUUGCAUAAAAGCCCCAAAAAUACCCUAUUUUAAUAAGGUGGCCGGUUUUAGGGAGAAAAGAGAGAAAAGAUAAGUCCACAAAAAUUUGGAAAUUUUUUCAACAAAUUCAUAAAGCCAUGCAAGUGGAACCAUGCAAGUGGAACCAUGCAAGUGGAAAUAAGUUGGUGUGUGUGUAAGAGAAGUACUUCUUACACAUCCAUCAACAUUUCUAUCACCUUACACAAUUUCAAUCACAUUAAACAUUUGAUAAAGCACAAAACAAAGACUUUAUGAAAUUAACCAAAACUUUGAAUCAAAACACCAAACUUUAUGUUCUUGGCAAGAACAUCAAGAACAAUGAAGAACAUCCAUGAAAACCCAUAAGAGCUCCAUGAACAUUUUCACUCAAUAAAACUCAAAUUUUCAUCACUCAAAAUGGGGCUAACAUCCUAGGGUACUUAGGGGUUCCAAAAGUCACUUUAAAACACCUUUAACAAGUCAAACAAGAACCAAAAAAUCCACCCUUUGGAUUUGGCCGAAAAUUCCCAAAAACAUGGCACCAAAUUUUAGCUCCAAUAUUCAUGCU
rnacentral:lncRNA from 1 species